GAAAUAAUAAUACGUAUUUUUUCCUCUUGGCACUAAGUGGAAAAAAGGACAAAACCACCUCACAAUUAACUAGUUGUUUGUUACGCUGACAAAUGGCUUUCUGGGGUUCCUUAGUCUCAGUGCUCAUUUUGAAUUAUCGGUUCCUUACCCAGGCUGUCAGAUCCAAACGCUCUGCGGACGAGCUGUAGAAUAUAUCACACUGAUUCAAUAUUUAUGCUCUGCAAUGGGCCUGACUCCUACCCGCGCGCCAAACUUACAGACAAUCCAACCCCAGCCAGACAGGCCCUCAACAGUCAUGUCUUAAUGAAAAUUUUCUCCAGCUGAGGGUGGAGGAGGGUCAUCCUCAGCACAGCCUGGGGGGAAAUUUCCAGCAUCAAGCUUCUCAGUUCUGACCAGCCUCACCUGAGCCUCCUGCCCACACCCAUGGGCCCGGAGACCAUUUGAGAUCAGUUUGGUGCUGUCCUUCCUUCCUUAGUCUGUGCUGGAGGAGCACAGGUCUCCAGCUGAGCAUAUCCAUGCUGCGUGUCCAUGAGGAGCCAUCUGAACGAGGUGGUCCUUCUGCUAACAAGAUGAAGGUGAUGUCAGAGGAUAAAUUCAGCUGCAGAUUUUCCACGUUUCCAAACUAUCUGUCAUACCUGGUAAUUCCCCACGCCGGCUUCUUCUUGCUAAUAGGAAGACAGAAGGGAGGAAGGAAGGUCUGUGACAACCAGGCGUGUUCUACGUGUCAGCUUUUUCCUUUGUGCGCCUUCUAGCAUGUAGGCGUCUGAUGGCAGAGUAUCAAUAGAGGAUGUAUUGAAUCAUCAGCAGAGGGGAGAAAAAGGAGCAACGUUGCCUAUUCCUCCUUUUGGGUGAAAUAUGUCUGAAAAUGUUUCAUUUUUCACUUUAAAGGCAAGAUGGAAUUGCAAAAGACUUCAAUGCUUUAGGGACAGUUAGUUUGGUAACAGCCAGGCCAUUCUUCUCUCUGUCAGGGCUUGGGCAGGUUUUGAAAUGCCAGUGGUAAGGCACGAGAAAUGCUCCUUUGUUGUAAGCGGGAAAUUUUCAUUCAAAAGCUUUUCAUACAAUCCAUUUGAUCACCGCAAUCAACUGGAAUUAUUACAUCAUUUAGGCAAGUUACUGUAGCAUUAAUGGUUGCUCUGUUGUAGUUAACUGAGAGAAGGAAACAAAUCUCCCCCUUAGAACCAUUUUUGUCUUUCAUCAGAACUGAUGCAAUAACAGUUCCCGUGUCGUGGGGUAUAUAUCUCCCUGGGAAAGUUCCCAGCACGCCUUCAGAAGGACGGCGAGUGCAGUCAUGCAUACUUAUAGAAGCCUUCCUGAGAGAUGGACCAACACCUCCUGUUUUUUCAGGGCGCCAUUUCUUUAUCCUUUCACUGCUGCUGCCCUUUGACAAUGAUUUGCCUGCUUGAAAAAACUGUGUGAAAAGCUUAUUUGUAAUAUGUUGUUGCACGGCUCUUUUUCAUUCUUUUCUCACUUCUUGGUUGGAAUUCAGAAGGAUUUAGGGGUGGAAGGGAACAGAGCUAACCCAAAUUAACUUCCAUGUUGAGCUGUUAGGAAGCUUUUCCAUCUGACACAAAGACCAGCUGUACUGGGACAGCACCGUGUGCCACAGCUGCCAACACAGGAAAAAUCAACAAGGAGUAGAUAUGAUAGUACCUAGAACAGUAGAAAUGAUAUUUAUCAUUUAUCAGUAAAAAUCCUCAGAAGUAGAGCUCACUGGGAUCUUUGGUUUAAACAACAGCACCUCUGGUUUUAAGA
rnacentral:lncRNA from 1 species